CAGUACCUCUCCUCUCCUCCUCCUCCUGCUGUGUCCUCCAUCACUCCAUUUCCUUUGAUUCUGUUUCUCCUUGAGGACGGAUUCAGGCCUUCCUGCAGAGCGUAUCUCUUGGUUUCUCAUCCUCCGUCUCUCCAGAUUCCUUCUUUGAAGGGUUACAAGGCAACAUAAAGAAGAAAGCUCAGGAAAACCUGCAGGAUUUCCUUGACCCCUUGAUCCCACGCCCACAUGGAAGCAAAAGCCAAAGGAGCAUCAAAGUCUGCCUCCAAAGCAGAGAAGAAGGAGGCAGCACCACCGCUAAAGCCAGACCCCAUCUCUGCUGAACCCACAGAACCUGAGAAUCCGGAGGAAGAUGGAGAAACCAAUCAACAGGGGACGGAGGAGUCCGCGGGAUGUAGCUGUGAAGCCUUAGAAAGUUUAAAGCCUUUCCUGAUUGGAGGAGCUGUCAUCGCACUUGGAGCUGUAUUGGUGGGCGUAAUCUUAUUAGUCAAGAAAAACUGACACAAGGCCUACGAUGGUUGUCAAACAGUGGGGUUGUUUAGUUCACAGACUAUUAAAGUUUAUAUAAAGGGUUGGGGAGUCACUAGCGGGGUGAACAUACAUCCUCUUUGUCCAGAACUUAUCCAGGCCAGGAUUUCUAAAUUGCCUAAAAUGUCCAGAUUUUGACUUUGCUUUCCUAUUGUUUUCAUCCUUGCUGAAAGUCCUAAUUAAAAAGUAGUUUGACCAAUUGCGUGCAGACAUUGUACACAUGAUUGACAAAUUGUGACACACGAUAAAGCGGGAUCUACAAAGAACAGUCAAGACAAUGCAAAUAUAAUGUGUGAGGGCUGUGGAACACAUCAAUAGUAAAAAGAAAUCCUCAUCCAAAACUGUGACAUUUCAGGCAAUUUACAAAUCCCAACCAGGUCAUGUCUUGGAAAAUAAGUAUGUAUGGUCACUCUAGUCGCUAGGCAUUUUUAUUUUAUGCUGUACUUUAAUUUUAGUGCUUGUGGUGAUGUUCCUGUCUGCUAUUAAAGCAAGCUAGAGAUGUAUUUAGGCCAAACACUUUUCAUAUAACAUAGUUAUAGCCAAUGCACAUUUACACCAAAACUUUCAUUCAAGUCACUCUGCCUGACGGUCAAAAACAUCCUCAUCCAUGCCAUAUUGUUGAAAUUAAACCAAUUAUCCAAUUAUUUCAAGCUGGACUUAAGUCCAAACUGCCAACUGUAAGAUACAAUAACAUUAAGAUGCAUGAUUCAAGUUUAAAAAUACAGAAGUUUUCUGUCUUUUAUGGAAAUUAAAUGCUAUUUAUGUCUUGAUACCAAUAAAAGCAAAUGCUUGUGCAAAUCCAUAUGUACAUAUUAAGCCACUGACAUCUAUUACAGUUAGGCCUGUAUUGCUGAGAGAAAGUGUAGAAAUGUAAAGAUUCAAAUAUUGUACUAUGGGUUCAUUUUGUAUUUGACAUCACUUGCAAUCAACCAGAAACAAGACAUUCAGUAAUUUAAUAAUAGUGCCUGUGUGAACUACAUACUGUAGACCAUCUGUGCCAUUUCAAAAUCUUAGUUUCUUGUUGGAACGAUGUUGACGAUUUGCUGAAGUGGGCCAAUGGGAAUAGAUGCGUGAUGCAACAUACUGUAGAUGCAACGUAGAUUAUGACAGCUCUCGGCCAGCAGCUUUAAUUUUGCUGUCACACUAUGAUGAGUGCUACACAAAUCAGAAACAAUCCCUAAAUGCAUGCAGACACAAACAAUAUACACCCACACGUCACAUGACAUACUGUUACAGAAAAUUACAUUUUCUUUAAAGUGCGUAUGUAAUGCAAUAAUUCAACUAGAACUCUGUAUUUAAAAGAAAGAAGACUGUAUAAGUUGCGAUACUGAUGGUAAUGAUGUGAAUGAAGAUGCGGCAACAUGGUGGUUAUUUUAGUGGUGGUGGUGGUGGUGAUGACGACGAGUGAUUAUGAUUUUAUUUGUUUGUUCUAAUGAAGUUUACCUGUUCCUCUAAUGUGGCCCCUUUCCUCCUGCCAUAUGUAUUUAUUUUGCACACAACCUCGCCUGCUGCCUUUCUUCCUCGUGUGAAUUAAAACAAGAUGGCUCCCUUGUGACUUGCUGACCUUAUUAAAGGACAAUGAACAAUA